GUCAGUUUAUUCGUAUCAACAUCUAAGAGUUUAUUUGGUUUCCAGGUCGACUUCUGCAGCCGCGUUAUUCUUGCAUUGUCGUGAGAAGAGGCCAGACAGAAUAUGCACAUGCGCCGUGUGUGUCUGACGCCAGUGAAGAUCAGAAGUCAAUGGAUCCCUGGAACCGGAGUGUUGGCUGAUUGUGAGCUGCCAUGUUGGUGCCGUCAAGCCAUCUCUCCAGCCCUAUUAUUGAAGGAAAGAAACUUUAUUUCAUCAAUCUUUAUCACAUGGAUGUGAGCGUGUGAUGCGUACGUGCACAUGCGUGUGUGCAGCGGUGUCUCUGUGCUGCUCGGGGGACAGCUCUGUGGAGCCGAGUCUCACCUCCCAUUUUCAGCUGGGAUUGGGGGGAUUGAACUCAAGCCAUCAAGGUUUCACGGCAUGUACCUUCUCCUGCUGCACCAUGUAGCCAGGCCUGGAUUCAGGAAUAAUUACGAGACCGUCAUACUCCAUGUUUCCACAGCCACCAUGUCACAUGAUCCAAGGAAAAGAUGGGCAGGUGGAAAUAGGACUUGCUGCCAAGGGACCAGCGCAGAACCCAAGCGAGCUUGUAUGGGCAGGACUGCCGUGGUUCCAUGGAAACUUCCAGCCUGGCUUGUGAGAGCCUGAAGGAACCUUGUCAACACUGGCUUAAAUCCUCAUUUUCUAGAUGAGAAAAGCAGGCCCAUGGGAGAGAAGUGACUCACCUACCAGCCUGGCGGUUGACUGGCACCAUUGGAAUGGGGCUCAAGUCUUUCAUUUCUAACUGAAUCCCAGGAGAGUCAUCUCAGGCACGAUGGGCCAGGGUGGGAUGUUUGCAUUGCGCAUGAGCAUGCGCCCUCCCUAUAAGGCGCCGCGGUAAAGAAGCAGAUGGCCUGGGUAGGAAUUCUGACCCCAGCCCUUCUGGGUUUGGUGGCCUUGGUGGCUUUGUGCCAUCCUAUGAAUGGACCCAUACUGAGGCAUUGGUGACUACGGGGGGGUUCCAUUCCAGAUGAACCCACUUUCUAAAGAGGAAUGAAAUAAAUCUCUGCUGCUGGCACCUUAGGAAAGAGCCCAUGGAGCCAGUGUACUGUAAAUGCCGUAAAUGCUGUAAAUGCCGCAAAUGCCGAAUGAGUGAGCGCAGGUGGAGCUCGUUAGCUUGAAUUUGGAUCCAGGGAAGGAUUGGGAAGUUAGCCUCCUGGAACUCUCUAGUGCAAGCUGCAGGAAGUGGCGACUGCGUAUUCUCCACUUGUGUAAGGUUUGUGUUACUCCCUAAACUCAUUCUGAGAUGGACAAAGUGACACGGAUUCUAACCGGAGGCUAAGCUCAGUUCUAUUGGUUCCCAGGGGGGUGGAGGCGAGCGUUCCAGUGAGGUCAUUUGAUCAAUAGUUUGUGAUCUCCAAAGACUCCUAACACACAAGGACUGGAAGCAGAGCCAUAGCUGUUUCUCUGUUUUUGUAUACAGUGGAGGAUGCCAUAUUCUUGGGAGUCUGUGUGUACAUGACCCUCCCUCUGUGUGUGUGUGUGUGUGUGGUGGCUGUGCUUGGGAUGAGAAUCAGGGUCUGAAACUUGCUAGAUGAGUGCCAAACCAUUAAGUUAAAUUCCAAGCCCACCGUUUUUUUGAGACAGGAUCUCACUGUCUAGCCCAGGCUGGUCUUGAGUUCAUAAUCCUCCUGCCUCAGCUUCCUCAGUGAUGGUAUUCUAGGCUAUGCAGUCUUAAUAUAGUAUAUCAAGGAAAUCUCCUAGAAUCCUUAAAGCAAUCCAGGGCCGGUGAGACGGUUCAUGGGGUAAAAUUUGAUGCCCGGGAUCCACGUGGUGGGAGGAGAGAACUGACUCCUGCAAAUGCUUCUCUACUGUAGCACACAUGUAUACUCUUACACACGUGCGUGCACACACACACACACUUAAAAAUGUAAUAUGAGCUUCACAAGGAUGAAGGCUGGUGUUGGGAAUAAAGUAUAAGACAGAUAUUUCCUUUGUUGUGGCUGGAAA